rnacentral:lncRNA from 1 species
GUGAGUUCAAAGCCACCCCGAGCUACAUAGUGAGUUCCAGGCUUAUUACAGAAUGGCUCAUCCAUGAACUCAGUUACGGUGGAGUCUACACGUUUAUGACUGGAACGAGUUGAAUGGUGAAUUAGCCUGUGGAAAAGUGCUGUGAUUUCAGCCACACCUACCCUGCCCAGCUCAGAAACAGUCACUCUAGGCCUCAGAAUCAUCUAUUUUCAGGUUUGAGAAGAGACCUCAGUGGCACCAGGAACAUUC